rfam:Fukomys damarensis contig140040, whole genome shotgun sequence.
GUUGGUUAUGGUGAUAUGCACCCAGUGACCAUUGGGGGCAAGAUUGUGGGCUCUCUUUGUGCUAUCGCGGGUGUCUUGACCAUUGCAUUGCCAGUUCCUGUGAUUGUUUCCAAC